rnacentral:rRNA from 1 species
AACGUAGGUGGCAAGCGUUAUCCGGAUUUACUGGGCGUAAAGCGUGCGCAGGCGGUUCGUUGUGUCCGUCGUGAAAGCCCCGGGCUUAACCUGGGAACUGCGAUGGAAACUAGCGAGCUGGAGUGUGGCAGAGGGGGGUGGAAUUCCGCGUGUAGCAGUGAAAUGCGUAGAGAUGCGGAGGAACACCGAUGGCGAAGGCAGCCCCCUGGGCUAACACUGACGCUCAGGCACGAAAGCGUGGGGAGCAAACAGG